AACGAACGCUGGCGGCAUGCCUAAUACAUGCAAGUCGAACGAGACCUUCGGGUCUAGUGGCGCACGGGUGCGUAACGCGUGGGAAUCUGCCCUUGGGUUCGGAAUAACUUCGGGAAACUGAAGCUAAUACCGGAUGAUGACGAAAGUCCAAAGAUUUAUCGCCCAGGGAUGAGCCCGCGUAGGAUUAGCUAGUUGGUGGGGUAAAGGCUCACCAAGGCAACGAUCCUUAGCUGGUCUGAGAGGAUGAUCAGCCACACUGGGACUGAGACACGGCCCAGACUCCUACGGGAGGCAGCAGUAGGGAAUAUUGGACAAUGGGCGAAAGCCUGAUCCAGCAAUGCCGCGUGAGUGAUGAAGGCCUUAGGGUUGUAAAGCUCUUUUACCCGAGAUGAUAAUGACAGUAUCGGGAGAAUAAGCUCCGGCUAACUCCGUGCCAGCCGCCGCCGUAACAC
rnacentral:rRNA from 1 species